GGUUCCCAUGUUUGAUAUUUUUUUACUUACGCAAAAUUGGUCGAUGCUGAUGAGAAUGGCACCGUCUUCCACACUUAUAUUUUUAAUAUACAAUGUUCCCAAUUUUAUUGUUUUACUUUUUUGGUUCAAUAAGAUUAAGAUAUACACUUUAUCUUGUGCUGAAUCUGAUGUCGUUCAGAUUGUAGGAAUUUUAGGAUGGGUCACAAGUUUCUCUUGUUGGAUGUUUUCUUUCUCUAGGCAAUGCAUGACAUAGAUAUGUACUCAGCUGGACAUGUUGUUGCCGAGUUUGUGUUGAUUUGGCGAGAACCAUCAAUAUUAGUUGACAAAAACCAUCAUGUUAUUAUGCCUCCAUGUUAUAUUUAGAGGCGCAACCAGAUACGAGCCUUCCAAAAUACGGGUCAUCUUGUCUGAUGGUCUCCUCUCCUGCCGUCGCCGCCGCCGGAGAAGCUCGCCUCCGCGCCCACAAGCCUCGGAUUCGGCGGGAUCCAGGACGAGGAGGGGUGGAUGAGACGGGGGAGGAGGAGGAGGAGAGCGUGGGGGCGUCUGGGGAGGAAUAUCCCCGCCGCCUCCUCCGCUCGUGACGCAGGGCCUCGGGCCAUGGGGGCGUUCGUUGCAGGAGCCUCGCCGCUGACCUCCCGUGCGCGGCACCCGGCCCUGGCAGCGCCAAUCUCCCCUUCACACACAGAUCGGGUCGUAGUCGGAGCACAACUAAGGUUGGCGCUGCUCAAGUGUUUGCAGUGCAGCGGGAUCCUCUUCUACAACGGCGAUGACAAGGACUCCGCUCCCAGUUCAGUCUAUCAACUACACACACAACUCCUGGACCUGCCUUCAGAUUUAAGGCAAGCGCUUCAGUACUUCCUUGUGUUGCAUAGUCACUAGACUGGGUUUUCUUUGAUUCUAUGAUUGGUUUGUUUUGAUCGCAAUGUAUGUGUCCACACAAUCAAAAGGAUCAAGAUAGCUUCACAUAGAUUAGUUAAUUGGCCAGGUACAUACGAAGCUGUGAAUCUAAACAGGACGCACCUACAUCACCACACCAAUAUGUUGUGUGUAACACGACCAUUCCUAACAUACCAUGGUUUGCAUGCUGGAUAACCGAUGUGUGUUAAGAUGAGCAGCAGCACGCUCACACAUUAUCUUUGCCGUUGAAAUAACCAUAUUUGUUCUAUGAAGUUUCUGUUAUAUAUCUCUAUGUCCAUGUACUUCUCAAAAGUUACCUUGGAUGAGAAGCAUUGUUUUGCUGGUCUUUGUGAAGACAAGAUAGGAAGAUCCAUGUUCUUGAUCAAUCAAAUAUGGUCAAAACUGUAGUUUUUUCACCAGUGUAAUCUUAUUAAUAACUUCGACCAAAAGUCCUACAAUCUCAUUAGUAAUCAGGUGUGGACAAAUAUGUUUUUAGUCCAGUUUGAUCUAAUAUAUCCUAUUGAAGCGUACUUUGACCAAACGUCCUACAAUCUCAUUAGUAAUUAAUCAGGUGUGGACAAAUAUGUUUUCAAUCCAGUUUGAUAUGAUAUUUUCAAUUGAAGCAACAAAACCAUCGUAUUUGGCUUUCCGUAAGCACCAAGUUAACAAUAAUAGAGUUGAUUAGUAGCUGAUACAGUGCUAUGAAUUUUUAUUAUAGUCGUCGUUGGUAUCAAACUAUCAAAUCAGUUUAUACAGUAGAAACUUGGACAGUGCUAAGAUGGAUUAGCACGUACAGUUGUAAACUACAGAAAAAAGAUUAUUUGUCCAUUAGUCGAUACCAAAUUUGAUCAUAUAUAUUGUUCUAUUGAGCUUAUUAUUGUAAAGUCACCAACAAGUUGAAUCAGCUAUAAGCCUCUCAGAAGGGUAUAGCCGCCUCUGCUUCCGCAUUACAUCUCCAUGUAAGUUUCUAAUGUACGUUCACAUAUAAUUUUGGUUGACAUUAUCUCUUCUGUGAAUUCUGCUUGCAUUUUUUCAGUUGAAACAGUAACCGAAUUUGAUAAGUAUGCAACGAUUUCUGCCCUGCAGCAUGAGUAAAAUGUUAUGAGUUAUCACUUCAGAUAAGUAACCACUAUAUUAUUUUCUCUGUGUAAUUGACCUGUACACAUGUUGUCGCUCUGCUUGAACCAUCGAUCUCUGUAUGUAUUUGAGCUCCUCUCACAGGCUGACUCCUAUGUUCGUGACUGAGCAUGUGUGUGUGUGGCCAUGGGGCAGACUUUAUCUUUGACUGAAUCCUUGCAACAUUUUCCUUUCAGGCCAACGAACAAUAAGAUUCUUCUGACCUUACAUGUCGAAAACCCUUCGGAAGAUUUCGCUGUCCUGAUCCCUGAGGGUUCCGGCUAACCUGAGGAUAUGAUGUACUUUUUCUCUGAAGUAGUAAUAAGGAUUGAUACAACGACGGUGUGGUACCCGAAUGGCUACUUUUAUUGCCUUUCGACAUGCGCAAGUAUUUGAGUAGCAUGUGACUAAUCUUACAGCCCCCCUCCCCUGAUGUUUGGGAUGAAUGUUGUAAAAUGUUUCACAAAUAGAUGAUGGAUUGAUGCAAUGUCUUACCCAAUACAAAAGAAAAUCACCCCGAUAGUCUGAAUGUCAAGCAUUUUAUGUUUCUGUUUA